rnacentral:rRNA from 1 species
CCUACGGGGCGCUGCAGUGGGGAAUAUUGGACAAUGGGCGAAAGCCUGAUCCAGCCAUGCCGCGUGUGUGAAGAAGGCCUUCGGGUUGUAAAGCACUUUCAGUGGGGAAGAAAGCCUUGGGGCUAAUACCCUCGAGGAAGGACAUCACCCACAGAAGAAGCACCGGCUAACCCCGUGCCAGCAGCCGCGGUAAUACGGAGGGUGCGAGCGUUAAUCGGAAUUACUGGGCGUAAAGCGCGCGUAGGCGGUCUGAUAAGCCGGUUGUGAAAGCCCCGGGCUCAACCUGGGAACGGCAUCCGGAACUGUCAGGCUAGAGUGCAGGAGAGGAAGGUAGAAUUCCCGGUGUAGCGGUGAAAUGCGUAGAGAUCGGGAGGAAUACCAGUGGCGAAGGCGGCCUUCUGGACUGACACUGACGCUGAGGUGCGAAAGCGUGGGUAGCAAACAGGAUUAGAUACCCGAGUAGUC